rnacentral:rRNA from 1 species
UGGGGAAUUUUGCGCAAUGGGGGAAACCCUGACGCAGCAACGCCGCGUGGAGGAUGAAGUAUCUUGGUACGUAAACUCCUUUCGAUGGGGAAGAUAAUGACGGUACCCAUAGAAGAAGCCCCGGCUAACUUCGUGCCAGCAGCCGCGGUAAUACGAGGGGGGCAAGCGUUGUUCGGAAUUAUUGGGCGUAAAGGGUGCGUAGGCGGUUUGACAAGUCUUAUGUGAAAUCUUCGGGCUCAACCCGAAGUCUGCAUGAGAAACUGUUGAGCUUGAGUAUGGGAGAGGUGAGUGGAAUUUCCGGUGUAGCGGUGAAAUGCGUAGAUAUCGGAAGGAACACCUGUGGCGAAAGCGGCUCACUGGACCAUAACUGACGCUGAGGCACGAAAGCUAGGGGAGCAAA